rnacentral:rRNA from 1 species
AAACGGCUACCAUCGCUAAGGCGAGCAGCAGGCGCGCAACUUAUCCACUGUCCACUCGGACGAGAUAGUGACGAGAAAUAACAAGCCCGUUCUCUUUGAGGUCGGGCAUUGGAAUGGACCGAAUGUAAACGAUUCGGUGAGUACCCACGAGAGGGCAAGUCUGGUGCCAGCAGCCGCGGUAAUUCCAGCUCUCGUAAUGUAUAGAAUUAUUGUUGCGGUUAAAAAGUUCGUAGUUGGAUUUCAUACCGCCAGUGGGUCGUGCCUAACGGUGCGUACUCGCGGCGGUGUUUAUGCCGGGGCGGGCUUGCCUGCCCCAGCAUGGAUUACUUUGAACGGCUUAAGUGCUCAAGGCGGGUCUUCGGACUGAAUACCGGUGCAUGGAAUAAUGGAACAAGGUUUCGGCCGAGUUUUAUUGGUUUUGUCGGCUGAGACAAUGGUUAACAGGAACAGCUGGGGGCACUCGUAUCCCGGCGCGAGAGGUGAAAUUCGUGGACCGUCGGGAGACGCCCUAAAGCGAAGGCAUUUGCCAAGAGUGUUUUCAUUAAUCAAGAACGAAAGUCAGAGGUUCGAAGGCGAUUAGAUACCGCCCUAGUUCUGACCGUAAACGAUACCAACUAUCAAUCCGCCAGUAGCUUUUGGUUAUUGGCGGGCGGAUCGACGGAAACGAAAGUUUUUCGGUUCCGGGGGAAGUAUGGUUGCAAAGCUGAAACUUAAAGGAAUUGACGGAAGGGCACCACCAGGAGUGGAGCUUGCGGCUUAAUUUGACCCAACACGGGAAACCUCACCCGGCCAGUACAUCAUAAGGAUUGACAGAUUGAAAGCUCUUUCAUGAUUUGAUGAAUGGUGGUGCAUGGCCGUUCUUAGUUCGUGGCGUGAGUCGUCUGCUUAAUUGCGAUAACGAGCGAGACUCCGACUGUUAAAUAGCACCCGUUUCUUUUCGAGCGGGCGGCUUCUUAACUGGAUUCGCGGCUUCAAGCCGCAAGAAAUGGAGCAAUAACAGGUCUGUGAUGCCCUUAGAUGUUCGGGGCCGCACGCGUGCUACAAUGAUGGUAACAGCGUGAUUGUCCUCGCCCGACAGGGCUUGGCAAACAGUUGAGAUAUUAUUAUGGCUGGAAUUGAGUGUUGAAAUUUUCUCUCAUGAACGAGGAAUUCCAAGUAAAUGCGAGUCAUCAACUUGCAUUGAUUACGUCCCUGCCCUUUGUACACACCGCCCGUCGCUAUCCGGGACUGAGUUGUUUCGAGAAAUCUACGGACCGGCCGCUUCUCGCAAGAGACCCGGCUGGAAAGUGAAUUAAUCGCAACGGCUUGAACCGGGUAAAAGUCGUAA